rfam:Danio rerio chromosome 2, GRCz11 reference primary assembly.
AUCUCUAUGGCGCAAUUGGUUAGCUCUUUCGGCUGAUAAAUGAAAGGUUGGUGGUUCAAUCCCACCCAGGGACG